rnacentral:rRNA from 1 species
CCUACGGGAGGCAGCAGUGAGGAAUAUUGGUCAAUGGUCGGGAGACUGAACCAGCCAAGCCGCGUGAGGGAUGAAGGUACAGAGUAUCGUAAACCUCUUUUGUCAGGGAACAAAGGCGGGGACGUUUCCCCGGAUGAGUGUACCUGAAGAAAAAGCAUCGGCUAACUCCGUGCCAGCAGCCGCGGUAAUACGGAGGAUGCGAGCGUUAUCCGGAUUUAUUGGGUUUAAAGGGUGCGGAGGCGGUCUGUUAAGUCAGCGGUAAAAGCCCGGGGCUCAACCCCGGCCCGCCGUUGAAACUGGCAGUCUCGAGUUGGAGAGAGGUAUGCGGAAUGCGCGGUGUAGCGGUGAAAUGCGUAGAUAUCGCGCAGAACUCCGAUUGCGAAGGCAGCAUGCCGGCUCCACACUGACGCUGAGGCACGAAAGCGUGGGUAUCGAACAGGAUUAGAUACCCUAGUAGUC